rnacentral:rRNA from 1 species
UGAAUACGAGAUGCUACGGCGUCGAAGCAGUCUAUGUCAUACUUCCAAGAAAAGCUUGCACUGUCAUAAACAAAUAAUGCCUGUACCAUAACCGACACAGGUGGGUAGGUAGAGUAUACUAAGGGGCGCGAGAUAACUCUCUCUAAGGAACUCGGCAAAAUGACUCCGUAACUUCGGGAGAAGGAGUGCCUUAUUUAUAAGGUUGCAAUAACAAGAUCCAAGCAACUGUUUACCAAAAACACAGGUCUCCGCUAAGUCGUAAGACGAUGUAUGGGGGCUGACGCCUGCCCAGUGCCAGAAGGUUAAAGAAGUUGGUUAGCAUCCGCGAAGCUGAUAACUGAAGCCCUGGUGAACGGCGGCCGUAACAAUAACGGUCCUAAGGUAGCGAAAUUCCUUGUCGGGUAAGUUCCGACCCGCACGAAAGGCGUAAUGAUUUGGAUACUGUCUCGGAGAGGGGCUCGGUGAAAUAGACUUGUCUGUGAAGAUGCGGACUACCUGCACCAGGACAGAAAGACCCUAUGAAGCUUUACUGUAACCUGAAAUUGAAAUUGGACUUUACUUGCGCAGUAUAGGUGGGAGGCGUUGAGAAUAUUCUUGCGGGAUUAUUGGAGCCAUCAGUGAGAUACCACUCUUGUAAUGUUAGAUUUCUAACUUUGUAUCAUUAUCUGGUCAAAGAACAGUUUCAGGCGGGCAGUUUGACUGGGGCGGUCGCCUCCUAAACGGUAACGGAGGCGCACAAAGGUUUCCUCUGAACGGGUAGAAAUCGUAUCUAGAGUGUAAAGGCAUAAGGAAGCUUGACUGUGAGACCUACAAGUCGAGCAGGGACGAAAGUCGGUCUUAGUGAUCUGACGGUGCUGAGUGGAAAGGCCGUCACUCAACGGAUAAAAGUUACUCUAAGGAUAACAGGCUGAUCUCCCCCAAGAGUUCACAUCGACGGGGAGGUUUGGCACCUCGAUGUCGGCUCAUCGCAUCCUGGGGCGGUAGUACGUCCCAAGGGUUGGGCUGUUCGCCCAUGAAAGCGGUACGCGAGCUGGGUUCAGAACGUCGUGAGACAGUUCGGUCCAUAUCCGGUGUAGGCGUUAGAAUAUUGAGAGGAGCCUUCUUUAGUACGAGAGGACCGAGAAGGACAUACCUCUGGUGUACCAGUUAUCGUGCCAACGGUAAACGCUGGGUAGCUAUGUGUGGAGUGGAUAACCGCUGAAAGCAUCUAAGUGGGAAGCCCACCUCAAGAUAAGUAUUCUCU